UACGUAGGGUGCGAGCGUUAAUCGGAAUUACUGGGCGUAAAGCGUGCGCAGGCGGUUGUGCAAGACAGAUGUGAAAUCCCCGGGCUUAACCUGGGAACUGCAUUGGUGACUGCAUUGCUCGAGUAUGGCAGAGGGGGGUGGAAUUCCACGUGUAGCAGUGAAAUGCGUAGAGAUGUGGAGGAACACCGAUGGCGAAGGCAGCCCCCUGGGCCAAUACUGACGCUCAUGCACGAAAGCGUGGGGAGCAAACAGG
rnacentral:rRNA from 1 species